GGACCUGCCCAGUGAUCUAAUACAUUUAACGGCCGCAGUACCCUGACUGUGCAAAGGUAGCAUAAUCAUUUGCCCUAUAAUUGAGGGCUAGUAUGAAUGGUUUGACAAGAACAUAGCUGUCUCUUGUAGGAUAAUUAAAAAUUAAACCUUAGGUGAAGAUGCCUAAAUAAAACUAAAAGACGAGAAGACCCUGUUGAGCUUUAAAAACUUUAAGGAUUUCUAAGUGGUUUUUUUGGUUGGGGCGACCUAGGAACAUACAAAGCUUCUUUUAUUAUUUAAGACAUUUAAUUAUGAUCCAGUAAAACUGAUUAAUAAAAUAACCUACCACAGGGAUAAC
rnacentral:rRNA from 1 species